UACGAAGGGGGCUAGCGUUGCUCGGAAUCACUGGGCGUAAAGGGUGCGUAGCGGGUCUUAAGUCAGGGGUGAAAUCCUGGAGCUCAACUCCAGAACUGCCUUUGAUACUGAGGAUCUUGAGUUCGGGAGAGGUGAGUGGAACUGCGAGUGUAGAGGUGAAAUUCGUAGAUAUUCGCAAGAACACCAGUGGCGAAGGCGGCUCACUGGCCCGAUACUGACGCUGAGGCACGAAAGCGUGGGGAGCAAACAGGG
rnacentral:rRNA from 1 species